rnacentral:rRNA from 1 species
UACGAAGGGUGCAAGCGUUAAUCGGAAUUACUGGGCGUAAAGCGUGCGUAGGUGGUUUAUUAAGUCUGCUGUGAAAGCCCUGGGCUCAACCUGGGAAUGGCGGUGGAUACUGACAAGCUAGAGUGCGGUAGAGGAGGGUGGAAUUCCCGGUGUAGCGGUGAAAUGCGUAGAGAUCGGGAGGAACAUCAGUGGCGAAGGCGGCCCUCUGGACCAGCACUGACGCUGAGGCACGAAAGCGUGGGGAGCAAACAGG